UUUGGUCACGGGACAUGGUGAUUUUCAUAUAUUGGGUUUAGCCUUCUAGAAUUUUAUUGAGAAUUUUAAUGUUUAUGCUCAUACGUUAUGCUAUAAGAAUCAAAAUGGCAUGGUGCCAAUGCUAAAGCAGAUCUGUUAUCCAUCCAUCCGUCCAUUCAUCCAUCCAUCCAUCCAUCCAUCCAUCCAUGAAUCAUCGAUAUCUACCUACCUUCUAUCUCUUAUCUAUCUCAAACCUGUUUAUCAUCAAUAUAAUUAUUGUAAUUCUAAUAAACUAGAGGAUGAUAAGAAUUACAAAAAUCUUACACAAGGUUUCCUGUAUUUAUAUUUUAGUUGUUAAAAGAUAUAAAACAAACAUUUAUAAUUUGUGUAUACUCAUAAGCCCAAAUGAAGUUAUAUGUAUUUCUAUCGUGUCUUAUGUCAAAGAAGAGUGAGACAGUUUCAGUUUUUUUCAAGAAAAACUUUUUAAAAAUAUUUUUGAACUUUAAGGGAUUUCUAAAUUUGGAAACAUGCUACGUGAAAGAAUUCAUUGUUUUUAUUCAUCAUUCAAAUAGUGAUAAAGAUGCAUAUGUAUAGGAGGGUAUGGAUUAGAGAUAGUUGUACAUAAAAGAGACAAAAGAAAGAUUCCAUCAAGUCCAGCAUGGAAAUGAGUUUAUUUUGGUUACUUACAGGAGCAUACGAGACUCAAGGCCAGUUAUACCACUGAAAAGUCUCAAUCCACAGUCAACCUUCCUUCUCUCGCAUAAUCUAAAUCCAGGAUACUGGAGUGGCGACUGGAAACUCAUGGCUCAAGGUGUCCUUGGAUGCAAUGUUUAGGUUCUUUGUGUCUUGAACAAUGAACUGGACAAGACUCACGCGCACAUACACACCAGCAGUCAUACCAAAAGUAAAGAUUACUGAAGGCGAGGAAGAAAGCAGAGUGCACGUGCCACAGGACAGGACCAGAGGUCCAGGAGGAAGGAUGUGGCUCGAACCUUGAGGUUGUCCCCCCAACCCCCUCCCACAGGAUAUCAGCAGUGACAUCUCAGGCCACUUGCGAACACCAUUCUUGAAUCAGCAAUGGCAACUCUAUUCAGAAGAGUCUUUCUGUUUAUGAAGUCACAACCAGGAAACAAUGACCAGUGAAGAAGGCAAGACAAACCAAUGCUACAGUGUCAUCAUCCAAGCCCAAUGAAGACCAGCAAAGCGUGGUAAGGCGAACCAAUUCCACAUAGCAUUGUUCAUUGUCUGUUCUACCCUUUCCAAACAUCAUGUGUUCUCUCAAGUGUCUACUCUAGCAAAAUGACACAUACUCGUUUUCCACGAAGCUUCCAGAAAAACGCCACAUGUCUGUUAACAAAACAUCCUCUAAUAAGGCAGUUUCCAGAAAAAAAAAAUCACAUGACACAACUGAGUCUCCACUGAAACCAAAUAUUUCUACUUUAGACUAUCCCUUUAAAGACUGGUCUCAGAAAUAGAGGAUGCACUCAUGGGUCAGCCUGUUUAGUAAGAAGGGGAAGAGUCAGCUUUUUCAUUAGAGGAGUAUCAGCUUUCAAUUGCCUUUAAUCUGCUGUGCAUAGUUUAGAGAAUUAAUUUUAAUCUCUUGGCAUUAGUACAACAAAGUGCCUCUGAUGGGCUAAAUUUACAAAGAAAAACCAGUUCAUUUAGCUUAGGAUUCUAGAGAUUGCAUGGCAUAUCCCUUAAGAAUCUAUUCCCUGAAGCACCACAUACUUGAAUCAUAGAAUGUGGAGAAAUAUUCUGGAAAGAAGCUUCAUCUCAAUGUGUAGAUUUACAGUGCUAACAGGCACAUUCAGGCCAUCAGAGAAGAAAAGCAACCAUCACUAUCACCCAGCCAUGAAGCCACAAUAAUUACUGGCCUGACAAGACAUGCUUACUCAUGCAGUAGCAUCAUGGAUGUUAUGGAAGUACCAACCACUUUCUGAUCGGACUUCAGUCUCACUCCACAAUUUUAAGCCCAUGCUCAACACCACAAUUGGGUCAUGAAAUCUGUGCUUUGACAGGUCCUAGGCCCUAGGGGAGAAGGUAAAACUAUUAUUUUAUUAAAUGGACAUAGUAUUAAACUAACUCCUAGUGACUUAUAAUUUUACCUAUAGAUAAUGAAUCUCUCAACCCUGAUCAGAAAAGCUUCUACUUACAACAUUUGGUGAUUAGUUUAGCACAGAGACUCACAACUGAUGAACAUGCAAAGAAUAAGAGAAUGGAGAAAGAUCAACCCUAAAUCGAGCAAUACAUUCCAUUCUUUCCUCCAAAGGCUUGGGGACCAUCGUAGAAGAGUGAGUGAAAAGAGAAUAGAGACAAGAUGGUAGUUGACUACAAGGGACCAGCACUCCUGUACACAGCAGGGCAGCUGCUCAUAUGAAUUCACUGUGGUAGCAUGCACAUCUGUGCAAGCUCAUGCCAGACGAAAGCCAAGCAAGAUGUGAGCUGGUCACACAAUCCCUUCUCUAGCUGUGCACUUAUUGACAAUUGUUAUUUGCUUAGAGAGGAAGUGUCUAUUUUCUAUAAGAGCCUGGCCUCAGGUUAGACAAUUGUGUCUCAUUGUAAGGCCACAUGUCUAACAAUAGUUGAGAAGCACAAAUUAAAGUUGAUCAGAAAACAAAACAAAAAGUGCAAAGUUGGGUGACGAGGUAAGGCAGCUGGAUCUAGGGAAAGUUAGGAAAAAGGAUAAAUAAGAUUAAGACACAAAUUCUCAAAGAACUAGCAAUAAGAAAAAGAAGGGAGGCAUGGGAUUAUAAUAGCAGCCUUUUGUGUAGGAAGAGGUCAAGGCCAGAGAAUGACUUAGAAUCUAGACUCAUUAGCUUCUUUCCCUGGUGCUGUGAUAAAAUACUCUGACAAGGGCAGUUUCAAAGAGACAGGGUUUAUUCGGCUUAUAAUUUAAAUUUCAGUCCAUUGUUGUAGUGAAGUCAAGAUGGCAGAAACUUGAAUCAAUAAGUCUUUUCCAUAAUUAAGAGCAGAGUGGGAGAGUGAGAGAGCACAAGAGCGAGAUACACACACACACACACACAAACACACAAACACACACACACAGAUACACACACACACAAACACACACAGAGAGAGAUACACACACACACACACACAUACAGAGAGAGAGAGAGAGAGAGAGAGAGAGAGAGAGAGAGAGAGAGAAUACACUCACACCAGUGCUCAGCUUCUGUUCUCUGCUCUUAGAGAGUCCAGUAGCCUCUGCCAGUGAAAUAGUGCUGCCCACAGUGAAUAUAUUAAAGUAUUAAAAAUCAGCUUCCACAGACAUGCCAACAGGUCAACCCAACGGAGAUGACUUUCAACAAGAUUCCUUUCCCAGUUAAUUUCUAGAUUUUCAAGGUGACAAUUUAAAAUAACCAUGGCAGGUUUCUUAUAACACUUGUCAUGAGAAUUGGAGGCCCCAUGACAAUUACCAUUGAAGGGAAGCACUCUAAAUGACCUAACAACUUUCCACCAGACCCCUUCUUUCAAAGUGCACUGGGGAUCAAGCUAAAUCACAGAAAGCCUUGGAGAAGAAACUACACUCAAACCAUCACAGUCAUUAUAACAUUGCAAGACAAGGUCCAUAUGAAUAUAACAAAUAGUUUCUUUAACACAUUGCUCAGUUUUUAAACAUAUAUUCAUUUAAUUAUGCACACGAAACACAAAUACAUGUUUGUUAGAGGAGAAGUGAAUAUACAAAAAAAAUAAAACUUCUUCUAGGACCCCUUUUCCAAUUGCUCUACUUUCUGGGAUCAAAAAUAGAGGUGGGAUGGGAUAGGGGGUUUGCAAAGGGGAAACUGAGAAAGGAGAUAACAUUUGAAAUGUACAUAAAUAAAAUAUCUAAUAAAAAUUAUUAGUACACUACUGUGUAUCCAUCUGCAGCUUACAUGUGAAUUUACAUGUCUGCAUAUCUCUUACCGUGUUACAUUUGGUUCUGAUAUAUUUGGUACUAGAUGCAUGCAGAAAACAUGUACAAAAAAAAUGACAGUAGGAAUGUCCACUCUGUUCCCAGUUACUCCUAUUUGUUAUCAUUUUUUUGUUUCAGAAAAAUAUUAAUUUUCCAACUGUAAAUUGAUGAAAUAUAAAUGCUUCAAGCUUCCAUUUCCUAAAGACCAUUUUGCUUAUCACCAGUCAUAGGUUUAUACUGCAUGACAGAAAUGUAGAUAGGUGAUGGGUCUGUAAUAACAUGAAUGUCAACAAGCUCGAUUUCACUUUAAAUGCCAUUUGUAAGCAUUUAGUGCUAAAUAUUUCCCUCAAAACAAGUGAUUCCUAGUUUUUAAAACUUUAAUAAAAGUCUUAUGAUUUCUAUAUAAAAUGAUUUUGUUUUUAAAAUUUUCAUAUAUAUAUAUAUAUAUGAAUGAAACACAUAGAAGAAAGCA